rnacentral:rRNA from 1 species
GAUGAACGCUAGCGGCAGGCUUAAUACAUGCAAGUCGAGGGGCAGCAUGACUGUAGCAAUACAGUUGAUGGCGACCGGCAAACGGGUGCGGAACACGUACAGAACCUUCCUUCGAGCGGGGAAUAGCCCAGAGAAAUUUGGAUUAAUACCCCAUAGUAUUACGGAGUGGCAUCACUUUGUAAUUAAAGAUUUAUCACUUGAAGAUGGCUGUGCGGCUGAUUAGGUAGUUGGCGGGGUAACGGCCCACCAAGCCUGCGAUCAGUAACUGGUGUGAGAGAACGACCAGUCACAAGGGCGCUGAGACACGGGCCCGACUCUGACGGGAGGCAGCAGUAAGGAAUAUUGGUCAAUGGACAAAAGUCUAAACCAGCCAUGCCGCGUGAAGGAUGAAGGUCCUCUGGAUUGUAAACUUCUUUUAUAUGGGACGAAAAAAGGCUUUUCUAAGUCGUCUGACGGUACCAUAUGAAUAAGCACCGGCUAACUCCGUGCCAGCAGCCGCAGUAAUAC